GACGAACGCUGGCGGCGUGCUUAACACAUGCAAGUCGAACGGAAAGGCCCUGAUUUUGUGGGGUGCUCGAGUGGCGAACGGGUGCGUAACACGUGAGUAACCUGCCCUUGACUUUGGGGUAACUUCACGAAGCUGGGGCUACUACCAUAUAGGAUCCGCUGCUGCAUGGAGGGGGUUGGAAAGUUGCGGCGGGUGGGGAUGGACUCGCGGGUUAUGAGCUUGUUGGUGGGGUAGUGGCUUACCCAGGCUGUGGCGGGUAGCCGGCCUGAGAGGGUGACCGGCGACAUGGGUACUGAGAGACGGCCCAGAGGGGUACGGGAGGCAGCAGUGGGGAAUAUGGCACAAUGAGCGGAAGUCGGAGGCAGAGGCGUUGCGGUUGGGAUGACGGUCUGCUGGUUGUGAACCGCUGUCGGCUGUGACGAAGCGGGAGUGACGGUAAUGGGUGAAGAAGCACCGGCUAACUACGUG
rnacentral:rRNA from 1 species